rnacentral:lncRNA from 1 species
CCAUAUCAGGACUCGUUCUACGAAGCUUCUGCUUGACCGAAGGACAUCCUUCUCUAAGAGGUAAUCGGUGCACCACAAUGUCUGUAUCCAACCCAGGCAUAUCUUGAUAUGACCAGGCGAAUAUCUCCACAUAUUCUCUCAGCAUCUCAAUCAGCCUCCUCUUGACAGAGUCCUCUAAAGCAGCCCCAAUCUUGAUUUCUCUUUUGGCGUCCUCAGUACCCAAAUUAACAACC